GUGUGUGUGUGUGUGUGUGUGUGUGUGUUUCUCCAGAGACAGGCUGAUAAAGCAACAGCAGAGAGUUCUCAUUGCUACUGUAAGUGGCUUGUUGGAGCAAUCAUGACUCUCCUGGACUGAAAACCUCAUUCCUGGGUGCCUCUAAAUCUUCCUUAUCUCUGCUCUGCACUGUCCACACAGAAGGAUCAUAAACAUUAACCUACAUGACCUGAUGAACGUCCAUUUCCUGCCCUAGCUCCUCUCUUGGCUUUGUCUGCAGAUCACAUUGACGCUGGAAUUAAAUUUUGAGGGCUUGGUUUCAGGAUUCUGUAAGUUACUUUUGAUUUUCAUGCUGAAGUUGCAAAGCAGGCCAGAAGAUGAAGGGGGAGCUGAACCCUAAGCCAGGGACGGCAUCCACGCCUUCACGGGAUGACAGCUCCAAUGGGGGAGACGAAUGUCAAGACCCUCUUGCUGUCAGAAGAAAACUGCUGAACUUGCUGAUUUCCCUCUAAGCCUCCACAUGAGCUUUGACUCUGAUUAAAAUAGGCCUAAGAUGACAUCAGACUGCAGAAUGCAACAUGAAGGAACCUAUUUCCCGACAAAGGGCUGCCUUCCCAGGGUGAAGGCCUGCGGCGUGAGAGGGAGGGCUCAGGAACACUCACACACCAGCAUCUAGACAGCUGGGCAAGAGCUCUUUUUCGAAUGGCAGAAACAAACUUGUAACUCAUCUGAACCAGUGUGUGAAUGAGCGGUACAUCUACACGGGGUGGUCCUCUAUUUCCUGAAAGGCCCUAAAAAUACAAAAGGUGUUAUUGUGUGAUAUUGUGGAGAAAUGAAAGAGAACCAUCAAUAAGCAAACAGAGCCAUACCAUCGGGCCAGGAGCUCCUGGAGGUCCAAUUGGUCCUGCGGGACCAACACUUCCCUGAGGAGGGGAAACACUCCGCAUCCUUUGACUGAUUAAUAUGUGUGACUUGCUUCACUGAACAAGUAGUAUACCAUGACAAGUGAUGGGUGUGACUGCCAAAAGUAUCCUGCAGAGUCUAUGUAAAAUUCUUAGUAUCAUGAACAUAUAUUCCUUGCCAGCUUGAUGAUUGAAGCUGUGGUGGACAAUCUCACAUGGCAAGCAGUUGUGGCCGACGUCCGGAAGCUGGUAGGCUCUGGGACCUGCUGGUAGCCUGCAACCCAAGGCUAGUAUGAACCCAGCAUCCCCAAACUCCAACUUCAGAGAACCGGAAGGAGCUUGGAUAGAGACCUUCUGCCGUCAGACCUCUGCAGCUCCAACACUGUCUUGAAUACUACUUGGUGGUGUGAGCACAAGACUGUUAGGCAGUGCCCAGAUCCCCACCACGAGACUCAGUCUGCCAAACUUGUAGCAUUUGUUAUGUUGCAACAGAAGCAGGAAACUAAUAAAACUACCAAUUUAAUCUUUAGAGAUGCAGGAAGCCUUGCUCACAUGUUUUGUGAUGGUAGUAGUCAGUGAGUAUACUCUAGUUUCAUUAGCCUGCACUGGUUUGAACAUUUUCUGCUGAUGUUUUAGGUUCAUGUGAACCAACGUAAGGUUUUUCUAUUUGCCUUUAAUAGUUUUGCCCUAAUCUUGUAAAAUAUU